AUAAUUACCUGGUAGGGGAGACACCUUGAUCAUGAAGGAGGUUUUCCCAGGGUGAGGCUCAUCCAUUGCACUGCGGGUGUGCUGACCCCUGCGGUUUCUCCAAAUGCAGGAAACUUGACUGCAUAAUUUGUGGUAGUGCUGGGCAAAGCGGCACCUUUU